AGAGUUUGAUCCUGGCUCAGGAUGAACGCUAGCUACAGGCUUAACACAUGCAAGUCGAGGGGAAACGACAUCGAAAGCUUGCUUUUGAUGGGCGUCGACCGGCGUCACGGGUGAGUAACGCGUAUCCAACCUGCCCACCACUUGGGGANAACCUUGCGAAAGUAAGACUAAUACCCAAUGAUAUCUCUAGAAGACAUCUGAAAGAGAUUAAAGAUUUAUCGGUGAUGGAUGGGGAUGCGUCUGAUUAGCUUGUUGGCGGGGUAACGGCCCACCAAGGCGACGAUCAGUAGGGGUUCUGAGAGGAAGGUCCCCCACAUUGGAACUGAGACACGGUCCAAACUCCUACGGGAGGCAGCA
rnacentral:rRNA from 1 species